GCUUCGACGGUCCAGCGGUAGGAUAAUUGCCUUCCAAGCAACUAGCUCGAGUUCGACUUCCGAUCAAAUGCA